GCUUUACGAUCAGUUCCUAAACCUAUAUUACAUUAAACACCCGAUUUAAACAACAUUUAUAAAAAUACAAUAAACAAAAAAUAAGUAUAAGAACCGAGUCAGUCAAUGAAUUUAUGUCAAAAGUUUCUCCCAACAUUUAACCUACAUACAACUAGAUCAACAUCUAGUCCAAAAUUAGUUGAUGAAUAGGUACUUUUGACUCUUGAAGCAGGUUUUCAUCAAUUUUAUCACUGUAAAUGCUGAACAGAACUAUGAAAAAAAAUGGAUAAGUAAUUCAUUUUAAUUUCAAAUGAAUUUUAUAUAGAAUGAAGAAAUAAACAUUGGGAUGAAGAUUGUUGGCUUAGAAUCUGAAUAAUUUAUAUUUGGAGAGAGAGAGAGAGAG
rnacentral:misc_RNA from 1 species